CAGUAGCCGCGGUAAUACGUAGGUCCCGAGCGUUGUCCGGAUUUAUUGGGCGUAAAGCGAGCGCAGGCGGUUAGAUAAGUCUGAAGUUAAAGGCUGUGGCUUAACCAUAGUACGCUUUGGAAACUGUUUAACUUGAGUGCAAGAGGGGAGAGUGGAAUUCCAUGUGUAGCGGUGAAAUGCGUAGAUAUAUGGAGGAACACCGGUGGCGAAAGCGGCUCUCAGGCUUGUAACUGACGCUGAGGAGCGAAAGCGUGGGGAGCGAACAGGAUUAGAUACCCGAGUAGUCCCUGUCUCUUAUACC
rnacentral:rRNA from 1 species